AGUGAAUAGAUACCCGGGUAGUCCUGGCCCUAAACGUUGCUCGCUCGCUCUACGGAGUAUCGACCCUCUGUGGGGCUAAAGCUAAACGCGGUAAGCGAGCCGCCUGGGUAGUACGAGCGCAAGCUUAAAACUCAAAGGAAUAGACGGGGACUCGCACAAGCGGUGGAUCAUGUGGCUUAAUUCGUCGAUAAGCGAAACCUUACCAAGGCUAGAAACCAUGCUGCAUCCAACCCGAAAGGGAUGGAGCCUUCGAGGGUGCAUGGCAGGUGAUGCAUGGUCGUCGUCAGUUCGUGGCUUGAGCUGUUCCCUUCAGUGGGUUAACGAACGCAACCCUCGUUGUC
rnacentral:rRNA from 1 species